GGGGGUGUAGCUCAGCCGGGAGAGCACCUGCCUUGCAAGCAGGGGGUCAGCGGUUCGAUCCCGCUCAUCUCCACCA
rnacentral:tRNA from 1 species